rnacentral:rRNA from 1 species
AACGAACGCUGGCGGCAUGCCUAACACAUGCAAGUCGAACGAGACCUUCGGGUCUAGUGGCGCACGGGUGCGUAACGCGUGGGAACCUGCCCUUAGGUUCGGAAUAACUCCCCGAAAGGGGUGCUAAUACCGGAUAAUGUCUUCGGACCAAAGAUUUAUCGCCUUUGGAUGGGCCCGCGUUGGAUUAGCUAGUUGGUAGGGUAAAAGCCUACCAAGGCGACGAUCCAUAGCUGGUCUGAGAGGAUGAUCAGCCACACUGGGACUGAGACACGGCCCAGACUCCUACGGGAGGCAGCAGUGGGGAACAUUGGACGAUGGGCGAAAGACUGAGCCAGCAAUGCCGCGUGAGGGAUGAAGGCGUUAGGGUUGUAAAGCUCUUUUACCCGGGAUGAUAAUGACAGUACCGGGAGAAUAAGCUCCGGCUAACUCCG